rnacentral:rRNA from 1 species
AACGAACGCUGGCGGCAGGCUUAACACAUGCAAGUCGAACGCAUCCUUCGGGGUGAGUGGCAGACGGGUGAGUAACGCGUGGGAACGUGUCCUUCAGUUCGGGAUAACCCAGGGAAACUUGGGCUAAUACCGGCUGCGUGCGAGAGCAGAAAGAUUUAUCGCUGAAGGAUCGGCCCGCGUCUGAUUAGCUAGUUGGUGGGGUAAUGGCCCACCAAGGCGACGAUCAGUAGCUGGUCUGAGAGGAUGAUCAGCCACAUUGGGACUGAGACACGGCCCAAACUCCUACGGGAGGCAGCAGUGGGGAAUAUUGGACAAUGGGCGCAAGCCUGAUCCAGCCAUGCCGCGUGAGUGAUGAAGGCCUUAGGGUUGUAAAGCUCUUUCGUCCGGGACGAUAAUGACUGUACCGGAAGAAGAAGCCCCGGCUAACUUCGUGCCAGCCGCCGCGGUAA